rnacentral:rRNA from 1 species
CUACCCGCCAGGGGACUACAAGCACUAGCUUAAAACCCAAAGGACUUGGCGGUGCCUCAAACCCAUCUAGAGGAGCCUGUUCUAUAACUGAUAAUCCUCGUUAAACCUCACCACUCCUUGUUAUUUCCGCCUAUAUACCGCCGUCGCCAGCUCACCUUGUGAAAGAUGAAUAGUGAGCUUAAUGGGGAUACCCCAAAACGUCAGGUCGAGGUGUAGCGAAUGGAGUGGGAAGAAAUGGGCUACAUUUUCUGACCACAGAAUACUACGAAAAAUGUCAUGAAACAUGACGUACAGAAGGUGGAUUUAGCAGUAAAGAGAAAGCAGAGUGUUCUCUUGAAAUUGGCUCUGAGGCGCGUACAC